AGUGAACGCUGGCGGUAGGCCUAACACAUGCAAGUCGAACGGCAGCACAGUAAGAGCUUGCCCUUACGGGUGGCGAGUGGCGGACGGGUGAGGAAUACAUCGGAAUCUACUUUUUCGUGGGGGAUAACGUAGGGAAACUUACGCUAAUACCGCAUACGACCUACGGGUGAAAGCAGGGGAUAUUCGGACUUUGCGCGAUUGAAUGAGCCGAUGUCGGAUUAGCUAGUUGGCGGGGUAAAGGCCCACCAAGGCGACGAUCCGUAGCUGGUCUGAGAGGAUGAUCAGCCACACUGGAACUGAGACACGGUCCAGACUCCUACGGGAGGCAGCAGUGGGGAAUAUUGGACAAUGGGCGCAAGCCUGAUCCAGCCAUACCGCGUGGGUGAAGAAGGCCUUCGGGUUGUAAAGCCCUUUUGUUGGGAAAGAAAAGCAGCAGGUUAAUACCCCGCUGUUCUGACGGUACCCAAAGAAUAAGCACCGGCUAACUUCGUG
rnacentral:rRNA from 1 species